rnacentral:rRNA from 1 species
AACGAGGCGAACUCGGGGAACUGAAACAUCUAAGUACCCGAAGGAAGAGAAAUCAACCGAGAUUCCGAAAGUAGCGGCGAGCGAAAUUGGAUUAGCCCUUAAGCUUUUAAUGAUGCAGGUGAAGACUCUGGAAAGUGUCGCAGCAAAGGGUGAUAGCCCCGUAACCGACGCAUCAUAAUCAGUGAAAUCGAGUAGGGCGGGACACGUGAUAUCCUGUCUGAAUAUGGGGGGACCAUCCUCCAAGGCUAAAUACUACUGACUGACCGAUAGUGAACCAGUACCGUGAGGGAAAGGCGAAAAGAACCCCUGUGAGGGGAGUGAAAUAGAACCUGAAACCGUGUACGUACAAGCAGUAGGAGCACCUUCGUGGUGUGACUGCGUACCUUUUGUAUAAUGGGUCAGCGACUUAUAUUCAGUGGCAAGGUUAACCGUUUAGGGGAGCCGUAGGGAAACCGAGUCUUAACUGGGCGACACAGUCUCUGGAUAUAGACCCGAAACCGAGUGAUCUAGCCAUGGGCAGGUUGAAGGUUGAGUAACAUCAACUGGAGGACCGAACCGACUAAUGUUGAAAAAUUAGCGGAUGACUUGUGGCUAGGGGUGAAAGGCCAAUCAAACUCGGAGAUAGCUGGUUCUCCCCGAAAUCUAUUUAGGUAGAGCCUCGGACGAAUACUACUGGGGGUAGAGCACUGUUAAGGCUAGGGGGUCAUCCCGACUUACC